AUAAUAUUCCCUCCGUUACAAAAAAAUUGUCUUAGAUUUGUCUAGAUAUGAAUGUAUCUAGUCACGUUUUAAUAUUUAGAUACAUCCAUUUCUAAAUAAAUCUUAAACUAAAAUUUUGAGACGAAGGGAGUAGUUU
rfam:Hordeum vulgare subsp. vulgare, WGS project CAJW01000000 data, contig: morex_contig_1591615